rnacentral:rRNA from 2 species
GAUUCCCUGAGUAGCGGCGAGCGAAACGGGACCAGCCCAAACCAAGAGGCUUGCCUCUUGGGGUUGUAGGACACUCUGUACGGAGUUACAAAGGAACGAGGUAGAUGAAGAGGUCUGGAAAGGCCCGCCAUAGGAGGUAACAGCCCUGUAGUCAAAACUUCGUUCUCUCCUGAGUGGAUCCUGAGUACGGCGGAACACGUGAAAUUCCGUCGGAAUCCGGGAGGACCAUCUCCCAAGGCUAAAUACUCCCUAGUGACCGAUAGUGAACCAGUACCGUGAGGGAAAGGUGAAAAGCACCCCGGAAGGGGAGUGAAAGAGAUCCUGAAACCGUGUGCCUACAAGUAGUCAGAGCCCGUUAACGGGUGAUGGCGUGCCUUUUGUAGAAUGAACCGGCGAGUUACGAUCCCGUGCAAGGUUAACCACAAUAUGCGGAGCCGCAGCGAAAGCGAGUCUGA